rnacentral:rRNA from 1 species
GACGAACGCUGGCGGCGUGCCUAAUACAUGCAAGUCGAGCGAAGUUUUUCUGGUGCUUGCACUAGAAAAACUUAGCGGCGAACGGGUGAGUAACACGUAAAGAACCUGCCUCAUAGACUGGGACAACUAUUGGAAACGAUAGCUAAUACCGGAUAACAGUAUUUCUCGCAUGAGAGAUAUUUAAAAGUUGGUUAUGCUAACACUAUGAGAUGGCUUUGCGGUGCAUUAGCUAGUUGGUGGGGUAAAGGCCCACCAAGGCGACGAUGCAUAGCCGACCUGAGAGGGUGAUCGGCCACACUGGGACUGAGGCACGGCCCAGACUCCUACGGGAGGCAGCAGUAGGGAAUCUUCCGCAAUGGGCGAAAGCCUGACGGAGCAACGCCGCGUGAGUGAAGAAGGAUUUCGGUUCGUAAAGCUCUGUUGUUAGGGAAGAAUGGAUAUGUAGUAACUAUACAUGUAAGAGACGGUACCUAACCAGAAAGCCACGGCUAACUACGUG